rnacentral:rRNA from 1 species
AGCUAGUUGGCGGGGUAACGGCCCACCAAGGCGACGAUGCGUAGGGGUUCUGAGAGGAAGGUCCCCCACACUGGUACUGAGACACGGACCAGACUCCUACGGGAGGCAGCAGUGAGGAAUAUUGGUCAAUGGCCGCAGGGCUGAACCAGCCAAGUCGCGUGAGGGAUGACGGUCCUAUGGAUUGUAAACCUCUUUUGUCAGGGAGCAAAGGGCGCCACGUGUGGCGCUUUGCGAGUACCUGAAGAAAAAGCAUCGGCUAACUCCGUGCCAGCAGCCGCGGUAAUACGGAGGAUGCGAGCGUUAUCCGGAUUUAUUGGGUUUAAAGGGUGCGCAGGCGGAAUGUCAAGUCAGCGGUAAAAUUUCGGGGCUCAACCCCGUCGUGCCGUUGAAACUGGCGUUCUUGAGUGAGCGAGAAGUAUGCGGAAUGCGUGGUGUAGCGGUGAAAUGCAUAGAUAUCACGCAGAACUCCGAUUGCGAAGGCAGCAUACCGGCGCUCAACUGACGCUCAUGCACGAAAGCGUGGGUAUCGAACAGGAUUAGAUACCCUGGUAGUCCACGCAGUAAACGAUGAAUACUAACUGUCCGGGCAGAAUGAUGCCUGG